CAUCUUUGUCUGGAACACUGUCUAAGAGAUUAAGAGAGAGAAAAGAGAGGAUAUUGACCAAUCCGUGUGUCCUUCCAAAAUCUGAUGGCAUUUAGAAUGGUUUGAAUGAUUUAACAAUGUUUCUCCAAUUUGUGAAAGCAUUGCUGGGAAGCCUAGAUCUUGUUGAAGCAUAUCCACUACUGGAGCAGUAUAAAGAUUUGAGAACUUCAAGAAUGCUGAUUAUGAUCACCAUUUAACAAUCUCCAUCCACAUUUAGCUAUUAAGACUAUGUUAAGUUCUUUGAGAUUAAUUGAGAGUACCCAAAACCCCUUGCUCGCUAUCCUGCAUACUAUAUUCCAGUUCACUAAUGAAGCAAAUGGGGAGCAUGAUUGAGUGUCCUCCAAAGAAAAGAUCUUCUUGGCUUAUCUAGCGUAGCAAUUGACCAGCU
rnacentral:lncRNA from 1 species